rnacentral:misc_RNA from 1 species
GGCGGGCUGGCUGGCUCUGGAACCCUACUUCUUCCUCAUUUACUACACCAGAGCUUUCGUCUUUCCGAUUUCUAAGUUUAAUUCCCAGUUUGAAAGAAUGGCAGAGGGAGAUGAGGACCUGCCUAGAGAUGCAAAGAUUGUCAAGUCGCUACUGAAAUCAAUGGGUGUGGAGGAAUAUGAACCUCGUGUUAUACACCAGUUUCUGGAGCUAUGGUAUCGUUAUGUUGUUGAUGUGUUGACAGAUGCACAGGU